UGUAUGUGUGUGGCUCGCUGAAAAGAGCCGCGCGUGGAAUGCGCUGUCAGUCGGCCGAGGCCUGAUAUUGUUUCAGAGGGUUCACGUCCCAAAGUAGGCCACACGAGUCAAGCCCAUCGCAAGACCUGUCUGAUGACGAAGGUGACGCAUGAAUAACCACUUCAUUCCUACAUGCUUAGAUUCGAGAUGACAUCAAAGAGGAUGAGGGGAAAGGUUGAACAAAAGCUCUGUGUGCUGAACGCACAAACAGGAGCAGGUCUCCGAGAACACGCUUCAACCAUACAUGGGUUCACUUCUGGAACAGUAUUUUAUGAGAGGUCAUUGGCAGGUUCAGCAACUGUCGGUCAUUUCGGGUCUUUGUCUGAUCCAACUACGCAUUACGAACACUCAUUCCUCCAAAGAGUAACGUGAAGUAAUCCAUGACCAGUGAGUGCUCCACCUCAACCCUCCCUCCACCUCCCUCCCCCCUCCCCAUCCUCGAGCUCCCCUGAGAGGACCUCCUCCUACUCCAGCCCGCGCGCUGCUCGCUGCAUGACGGAGCAGAUGUUCCGCCCUAAGAUCCGUGACUCGAACCUUCUCCACUAUGGAUUUAAACCUGAAGGUUGGAUGCGGUAGCGGAGCAGAACGCAUUGAAGCUGUCAGCUCCAUGGAGGCUGGAGCUGGAGACGGAUAUUCUGGGAUACGCACAAUGAAUUGAAUUCUGUAGAUUAGAAUGUACAGUUUGUUUGAGGCGUUCUGGACAUGCACGCAGCCACCUGCUUACAGGCUGCUAACAUGAAGCGAUAUUACAUUAAUAUGGUAAUCGGUAUCUUGGUAGCUGGAGGCUGCGUUGUGAAUCUCAGCCAUCCAGACAUAAACAUGUUGUUACUAUCUUUUUCUAUUCACUGGUCACCUAAGCAUCGAUUACUAGCUACUUUGAUCUAGUCGGAACAUCCCGAAAUAAAUACUUACCAACUUUUUAGUGUCGUGGAGAUGUGUAAAGGAGAGAUGAUAGACAAAUCAGUGUUUCUGU
ensembl:lncRNA